GGAACAAGGUGGGAGAAGAGAGAGAAAGCGAAUACCGGAGGCCGCCAGCAUCAGUGGGUGCCCGCGCUCUCCUCCUCGCUCUCGUCCUCUGCCCUCCGCCCUGGCUCCCUGCCCGCAUUCCCUGGGAGCGCAGCCUUGCCUUAGCCUAGGAGACAGCUGUCCACAGUGACAGGCGGCCAUUGUUCUCGGCCGAGCCAGCAGGCUUCCGGCCGGUGGCAGCUGCUGCUCCUCCGCUCUGCGGCCCCACCAAGGGGGCGCCGCCACCGCCCAGGCCCUCCCCGCCUGAUGGGUCUCUGUCCGUCCACGCGGGAGACAGCGCCACCUGCCGCCUCCGCCUUUAGGCAGGAGCUCUUUCCUCCUCUCAGUUCCCCAUGUCCUUUGGGUGUGGCCUGUGACACUCAACUCCUGCCCUCGGCUGACUGGCCCUGAUUCACCAUGCUUGCCACGUGCACCUGGGCUGGCAGGAGUUCCAGGAGAGUUUGUGCAUUGAAGUGACAUGAGUCCCUGAAGCCAGAGCCCCCAUGGUUUCCUUUGGGCCUGUUACUGGUUGAUCUUUUCUUGAGAAGCCAAGCUUAGGUAGGAU
rnacentral:sRNA from 1 species